rnacentral:lncRNA from 1 species
AGGUGUCUAGAAUUAUUUGGAGUUCUGCAAUAUACGUCCUUUAUAUGCAAGUCUACACCAAUUACAUAAAUUUGUACAUGCAUUAAAGCAAUACAAUAUACAAUUAGAUGAAAAGGUCCCUAAUUCUACUAAAUGUUAAUGCACAACAUAAAAUGUUGGCCAAAGGAAAGGACCUCGUAAAGGGAAUGGUUGAAAGUGGUUGCGUCAUCAGACCACUGACUUUGGGAUGCACUUGUGAAGCAAUACACUGAUGCCAAAGAAAUGGAAAAAGCCGACUACAUACUGUAAAAGGUUGCUGAGAAGAGAAGGGGCAAACCAAUGUUUAGUUCGUAUAUUUUAGUUAUGGAUAGGGAUGUUAACGAGUUUAGUCGAAAUUUUAGGCUCGAGCUCAGCUCGGGUAAAAUGUCCAAGCUUCUUUUCAGGCUCUUGCCAUUUUUGCUCGGCAAAAAAAUUAGGCUUGGGCCUUUUCGAGCCUAGCUGGGUUAGCUCAAAAUUUUUUUUUAAUGAAAAAGGCAGCAGCUAAAAUUUAGUUGCUGCCAUUUAAGGCAGCAGCAUGCUACCUUUAAUUUUAUUUUUUUAAAAUAUACGCUCGGUUCUCCCGAGUCGGUGAGCCACACGGGCUGGCUCGAGACUUGCGGGGAACCUAAAAAUUGGGCUUGGUUCUCCCGAGUCUCAAGCCGAUAAGCUCGAGCUUUUUUCGAGCCAAGUUACGGGUGGCCCGUGCCGACGAGUCCGAUUGCCAUCCCUAGUUAUGGACCAAUAUGCUAAGAGACAUGACAUCAAUAAUGCUGAAAAAAAUGUUCAUUGCAUAUAAUCAUAUUGCACAAAACCCAUCAAAUACCAACCCUAAAAACAUAUUUUCUUCUUUCACCCUCUUCCUACACAUAAGUUCUUCCUCAUACCACUAAAAGAGGAAGGCAGUGAUAAAGAACAAGAUUACAAUCUGUUUUUGCGUCCAUUAAGUAUGAUGAAAUUUCUAAUUUCGACAUACAUUAUCUACAAGUUCGAGAAAAAAAAAUACAUAAAAUUCUAAAGCAUUUUCAUUUCAAACCAUAUUACUUAAUCUUUUAUGUAAUUAAUCGCCAACAAGAGCAACAACAAUUCUAUGUUAAGAGCAUACCUAUAUGCAAGUUGCAACUAAAAUAAGGAAUCAAGUGUCAAUCAAAGAUUUCCCACAAUAAAUUGAAAAUCAGGAUUCAUGUGUCAAUCAAAGAUUCCCCACCGUAAAUUGAAAAUCAAAGUUAUAUAAACCCACUAUCAACACAAUCAAAUUAAUUCAUUUGAAAAAAAAAAAAAAAAACUACCAAAGGAGACACCAACCACUAAAAUCCUAGAAGAAUAGCUUUUUCUCGUCUUUCUUCAAACCAUUUUUCAUUUAUACAUUCAUUUUCUCAAUCAAAAAGACCCAAAAUUAUAUCAUUUUACUUAAAAAAAUUAUUAAAUAUUUUUCAGCGUAAGUAAAUAAACUAGCAUAAAUUUUCAUUCAUAAGGAAAACAAACACUGCAUUUUAUCACAUCGAAAUAAAUAAACUGUUGACACAUAAAA